UGGUGGGUAGUUUGACUGGGGCGGUCUCCUCCUAAAGAGUAACGGAGGAGCACGAAGGUUGGCUAAUCCUGGUCGGACAUCAGGAGGUUAGUGCAAUGGCAUAAGCCAGCUUGACUGCGAGCGUGACGGCGCGAGCAGGUGCGAAAGCAGGUCAUAGUGAUCCGGUGGUUCUGAAUGGAAGGGCCAUCGCUCAACGGAUAAAAGGUACUCCGGGGAUAACAGGCUGAUACCGCCCAAGAGUUCAUAUCGACGGCGGUGUUUGGCACCUCGAUGUCGGCUCAUCACAUCCUGGGGCUGAAGUAGGUCCCAAGGGUAUGGCUGUUCGCCAUUUAAAGUGGUACGCGAGCUGGGUUUAGAACGUCGUGAGACAGUUCGGUCCCUAUCUGCCGUGGGCGCUGGAGAACUGAGGGGGGCUGCUCCUAGUACGAGAGGACCGGAGUAGACGCAUCACUGGUGUUCGGGUUGUCAUGCCAAUGGCACUGCCCGGUAGCUAAAUGCGGAAGAGAUAAGUGCUGAAAGCAUCUAAGCACGAAACUUGCCCCGAGAUGAGUUCU
rnacentral:rRNA from 1 species